rnacentral:rRNA from 1 species
UCGAACGCUCACCUUCGGGUGGGAGUGGCAGACGGGUGAGUAACACGUGGGAACGUACCCUUUGGUUCGGGACAACUCUGGGAAACUGGAGCUAAUACCGGAUACGCCCUUUUGGGGAAAGGUUUACUGCCGAAGGAUCGGCCCGCGUCUGAUUAGCUAGUUGGUGGGGUAACGGCCUACCAAGGCGACGAUCAGUAGCUGGUCUGAGAGGAUGAUCAACCACACUGGGACUGAGACGCGGCCCAGACUCCUACGGGAGGCAGCAGUGGGGAAUAUUGGACAAUGGGCGCAAGCCUGAUCCAGCCAUGCCGCGUGAGUGAUGAAGGCCUUAGGGUUGUAAAGCUCUUUUAUCCGGGACGAUAAUGACGGUACCGGAGGAAUAAGCCCCGGCUAACUUCGUGCCAGCAGCCGCGGUAAUACGAAGGGGGCUAGCGUUGCUCGGAAUCACUGGGCGUAAAGGGCGCGUAGGCGGCGUUUUAAGUCGGGGGUGAAAGCCUGUGGCUCAACCACAGAAUGGCCUUCGAUACUGGGACGCUUGAGUCUGGUAGAGGUUGGUGGAACUGCGAGUGUAGAGGUGAAAUUCGUAGAUAUUCGCAAGAACACCGGUGGCGAAGGCGGCCAACUGGACCGGCACUGACGCUGAGGCGCGAAAGCGUGGGGAGCAAACAGGAUUAGAUACCCUGGUAGUCCACGCUGUAAACGAUGAAUGCUAGCUGUUGGGAUGCAUGCAUCUCAGUAGCGCAGCUAACGCAUUAAGCAUUCCGCCUGGGGAGUACGUCGCAAGAU